rnacentral:lncRNA from 1 species
ACAAUUCCGACCACUUCCGGCCAUUUUUUAGGGUAGGUCCAAGAACAUAGUGGUUCCAAAUAGGUUUUACACCUAGAGUAAGAGUUUGGGCCGGCAGUUUGGAGUUUUUCCGGCUGCCAUAAAUUUAUAAAGCCACUCAUGCGCUGACAUCGCAUGUGGUGGCGCGUGGGUAGCAUGGUGGAGACCACAUUCAAUCCUAG